rnacentral:rRNA from 1 species
GGAGGGGGGGCUAGCGUUGUUCAGAAUUACUGGGCGUAAAGGGCGCGUAGGGCGGCCUGUCAAGUCAGGGGGGUGAAAGGGCCCGGGGCUCAACCCGGGAACUGCCCUUGAAACUGGCAAGCUAGAGUCCGAGAGAGGAUGGCGGAAUUCCCAGUGUAGAGGUGAAAUUCGUAGAUAUUGGGAAGAACACCGGUGGCGAAGGCGGCCAUCUGGCUCGGUACUGACGCUGAGGCGCGAAAGCGUGGGGAGCAAACAGGAUUAGAUACACUGGUAGUCCACGCCGUAAACGAUGUGUGCUAGACGUUGGAGGUCUUAGGCCUUCGGUGUCGCAGCUAACGCGUUAAGCACACCGCCUGGGGAGUACGGCCGCAAGGUUA